GGCAAAGGGGCCCAGAUCAGCGCCCCAGGACCAAGCCACUAGCCUGCGUCCCCUUCUCCCCCCACCCCCGCCCCACCUGUUCCUCUCCCUAAGCUGUCAACCCUGGGCAGGGUCGGGGUGCCCAGAAGCGGAGAAAAGAAUCCGAAAUGUAGGGAAACUGGGGCGCGAGGAAGCGGGGCUCAGCCAAGUGGUGCGCGGACAGUUGGGUGCGUGCAUUGCAGAGACGUCUCUGGAGCUCCUGAGCGAGUCCUCCAAGCGCACCCAGCUGGGCGGGGGGCGCCUCCGGAACCCUCCCUUCGCGCCCUGGCGCGGGAGGCCGCGCUGCGUGGCCGCGCGGGGACCUGGUUCGGAAACUUCCCCGGAGCUGGAAGAAAGAGGUGAUGACCUUGCCCCGCCCGCCAGAGAGAGGCACCGCGAGAGGCACCUCCCACGGGGCCACCUGCCGUUUAUCGCACCGCGCGCGAGAGUGUGCACGCGGGACCCCGGGCUCAGGUGUCCCCCGAGGCAGAACGCUGGUCUCCAGGCCGCGCUGGCGAUCACGUCGCUGCGGGAGGGAGCGGCUGCGGCGAGCGGGGGGCUGAACCGAGACCUCCGCAGGCCCCGGCCGCUAAAGGGGAAGGGGCAGCUCACGUGCCCCGUCGGUGACUGAGCAGAGGCCUGGCCGUCCCGGUCCUCUGGGUGCCCGAGCCGACUGGGUGCCCGUCUGCGCGCUGCAGGGCCCUGCACAGUGAGCGGCUUUUACGAAUUCCUCCUUAGUGCCCAGGCAAUGCAGGGAGCCAUCUCUGAAGAGUGACACGUUUCUUCGGAGGAUUCUGUUCUGGUCACAGCAAUCGAGUCCUUUCUUGAGGCUACUUAGAGAAUGGGGUUCAAACAUCAGUUUACCCAUCCGACUGCCAGUUUUGACAGAGGUGCUACUCUUCUCUUUGGUGAUCUAGUUUGGGAUAAAAACAACAACAAAAACCCAGCAAGGAAAGUAUGUUGAACUGUGUGCUUCUGCUGUGAUGGGUAACAGAAACACAGGAGGGGCUAGGGACACGGCCUUCGUGAAAGAACACUGCAAAAAGAACAAACUGGUCCCCUCUGCACCUGAGGGCUUCUGAGAAGCUGGCUGGGGGGAGCAAAGACUAUGACUUCUGUCUACUACAAAGAGAAAAAAAUAAACUAGGAAAUGGCCCAAAUGUAUUUUAUUUUUUGGAUGCCAGUUGUGUGCCAAGCCCUGUACUGGGUGCUGAGCUGACAUAUAUCAACUAGAUACGUUACUUUUACAUUUAAAAGGAGACACAGCCACGCACACGAGGUCAAUAAGCCAUGGAACAAGGAGUUGAAAGUCAUAGUAAGGGCUAAAAGAAAGGGCUAUUGGAAUAUA